AGCGAACGCUGGCGGCAGGCCUAACACAUGCAAGUCGAACGGCUCUUCGGAGCAGUGGCGGACGGGUGAGUAACGCGUGGGAACGUGCCCUUUGGUUCGGAACAACACAGGGAAACUUGUGCUAAUACCGGAUGUGCCCUUCGGGGGAAAGAUUUAUCGCCAUUGGAGCGGCCCGCGUUGGAUUAGGUAGUUGGUGGGGUAAUGGCCCACCAAGCCGACGAUCCAUAGCUGGUCUGAGAGGAUGAUCAGCCACACUGGGACUGAGACACGGCCCAGACUCCUACGGGAGGCAGCAGUGGGGAAUCUUGCGCAAUGGGCGAAAGCCUGACGCAGCCAUGCCGCGUGAAUGAUGAAGGUCUUAGGAUUGUAAAAUUCUUUCACCGGGGAAGAUAAUGACGGUACCCGGAGAAGAAGCCCCGGCUAACUUCGUGCCAGCCGCCGCCGUAACAC
rnacentral:rRNA from 1 species